AGAGUUUGAUCCUGGCUCAGAACGAACGCUGGCGGCGUGCCUAAUACAUGCAAGUCGAACGAGAAUGUGUAGCAAUACACUAGUAAAGUGGCAGACGGGUGAGUAAUACAUAGGUAACCUACCUUCAAGAUGGGGACAACCUUCCGAAAGGAGGGCUAAUACCGAAUAAGACCACAGUUGCUUCGGCAACAGGGGUUAAAAAUGGCCUCUACUUGUAAGCUAUUGCUUGAAGAUGGGCUUAUGCACCAUUAGCCUGUUGGUGAGGUAACGGCUCACCAAAGCUACGAUGGUUAGCUGAUCUGAGAGGUUGAUCAGCCACACUGGAACUGAGACACGGUCCAGACUCCUACGGGAGGCAGCAGUGGGGAAUUUUGGACAAUGGGCGCAAGCCUGAUCCAGCCAUGCCGCGUGAGUGAAGAAGGCCUUCGGGUUGUAAAGCUCUUUCGGCGGGGACGAAAUGGUCCGUGACAACACCACGGACUGAUGACGGUACUCGCAGAAGAAGCACCGGCUAACUACGUGCCAGCAGCCGCGGUAAUACGUAGGGUGCGGGCGUUAAUCGGAAUUACUGGGCGUAAAGCGUGCGCAGGCGGCUCCUUAAGUCAGAUGUGAAAUCCCCGGGCUUAACCUGGGAACUGCGUUUGAAACUGGGGAGCUAGAGUGUGGAAGAGGGGGGUGGAAUUCCAGGUGUAGCAGUGAAAUGCGUAGAUAUCUGGAGGAACACCGAUGGCGAAGGCAGCCCCCUGGGCUAACACUGACGCUCAUGCACGAAAGCGUGGGGAGCAAACAGGAUUAGAUACCCUGGUAGUCCACGCCCUAAACGAUGUCAACUAGUUGUCGGGGAAGUUAUUCCUUGGUAACGAAGCUAACGCGUGAAGUUGACCGCCUGGGGAGUACGGCCGCAAGGUUAAAACUCAAAGGAAUUGACGG
rnacentral:rRNA from 1 species